rfam:Ornithorhynchus anatinus chromosome 2, whole genome shotgun sequence.
AGCAGUGUGGCUUAGUGGAAAGAGCACAGGCUUGGGAGUCAGAGAUUCUAGGUUCUAAUCCCGGCUCUGCCA